rnacentral:rRNA from 1 species
UACGGGGGGGGGCAAGCGUUGUUCGGAAUUACUGGGCGUAAAGGGCGCGUAGGCGGCCUGCUAAGUCACACGUGAAAUCCCUCGGCUUAACCGGGGAACUGCGUCUGAUACUGGAUGGCUUGAGUUUGGGAGAGGGACGCGGAAUUCCAGGUGUAGCGGUGAAAUGCGUAGAUAUCUGGAGGAACACCGGUGGCGAAGGCGGCGUCCUGGACCAACACUGACACUGAUGAGCGAAAGCCAGGGGAGCAAACGGG